rnacentral:rRNA from 1 species
AUUGAACGCUGGCGGAAUGCUUUACACAUGCAAGUCGAACGGCAGCACGGACUUCGGUCUGGUGGCGAGUGGCGAACGGGUGAGUAAUGUAUCGGAACGUGCCCAGUCGUGGGGGAUAACGUAGUGAAAAUUACGCUAAUACCGCAUACGAUCUAUGGAUGAAAGCGGGGGAUCGCAAGACCUCGCGCGACUAGGUGGGCCGAUAUCAGAUUAGGUAGUUGGUGGGGUAAAGGCCCACCAAGCCAACGAUCUGUAGCUGGUCUGAGAGGACGACCAGCCACACUGGAACUGAGACACGGUCCAGACUCCUACGGGAGGCAGCAGUGGGGAAUUUUGGACAAUGGGCGAAAGCCUGAUCCAGCCAUUCCGCGUGCAGGAUGAAGGCCCUCGGGUUGUAAACUGCUUUUGUACAGAACGAAAAGGUUUCUACUAAUACUAGGAGCUCAUGACGGUACUGUAAGAAUAAGCACCGGCUAACUACGUGCCAGCCGCCGCCGUAA